rnacentral:rRNA from 1 species
GACGAACGCUGGCGGCGUGCUUAACACAUGCAAGUCGAACGGAAAGGCCCUGCUUGCAGGGUGCUCGAGUGGCGAACGGGUGAGUAACACGUGGGUGAUCUGCCCCUUACUUUGGGAUAAGCCUGGGAAACUGGGUCUAAUACUGGAUAGGACCAUGCUGUAGGUGGUGUGGUGGAAAGAUUAGUUUCGGUAAGGGAUGAGCUCGCGGCCUAUCAGCUUGUUGGUGGGGUAAUGGCCUACCAAGGCGUCGACGGGUAGCCGGCCUGAGAGGGUGGACGGCCACAUUGGGACUGAGAUACGGCCCAGACUCCUACGGGAGGCAGCAGUGGGGAAUAUUGCACAAUGGGCGCAGGCCUGAUGCAGCGACGCCGCGUGGGGGAUGACGGCCUUCGGGUUGUAAACUCCUUUCAGCCAUGACGAAGCCCUUGUGGUGACGGUAGUGGUAGAAGAAGCACCGGCUAACUACGUG